CAUUGGUAGAGGAGCAUUCUUAACUGAGACGAAGCUGUACCGUAAGGAGCAGUGGAUUGUUAAGAAGAGAGAAUGCUGGAAUGAGUAGCGAGAGGAAGGUGAGAAUCCUUCCGGCCGAAUAUCCAAGGUUUCCAGAGUAAAGCUGAUCUGCUCUGGGUAAGUCGGGGCCUAAGGCGAGGUCGAAAGACGUAGUCGAUGGACAACAGGUUGAGAUUCCUGUACUAUAGUAUAACAGAACUGUGGGGACACAGAUGGAAAGCACAAUCCGGGAAUGGAAAAACCGGUACAAGCGGGGUAGGAGUAGUAAAGGCAAAUCCGUACUACAAUCCGAAGACGUGACGUGGAGCGAACUAAAGUAGCGAAGUGUGUGAGCCAGCUGUCAAGAAAAGCCGCUAUUGUUUAUAUUAUACCCGUACCGUAAACCGACACAGGUGGAUGAGGAGAGAAUCCUAAGGCCGACGGAAGAAGCAUUGUUAAGGAACUCGGCAAAAUGACCCCGUAACUUCGGGAGAAGGGGUGCCUCGAAAGAGGCCGCAGAGAAUAGGCUCAAGCAACUGUUUAGCAAAAACACAGGUCUAUGCAAAACCGCAAGGUGAAGUAUAUGGGCUGACGCCUGCCCGGUGCUGGAAGGUUAAGAGGAGAUGUCAGCGCAAGCGAAGCAUUGAAUUUAAGCCCCAGUAAACGGCGGCCGUAACUAUAACGGUCCUAAGGUAGCGAAAUUCCUUGUCGGGUAAGUUCCGACCCGCACGAAAGGCGUAAUGAUUUGAGCACUGUCUCGACAAUGCAUCCGGUGAAAUUGAAAUACCAGUGAAGAUGCUGGUUACCUGCGCCAGGACGGAAAGACCCCAUGGAGCUUUACUCCAGCUUGAUACUGGGAUUCGGUAUUGCAUGUACAGGAUAGGUGGGAGACUGAGAAUUCACAACGCCAGUUGUGAAGGAGUCAUUGUUGGGAUACCACCCUUGCAGUAUUGGAUUUCUAACCAGCCACCGUGAUCCGGUGGUGGGACAAUGUCAGGCGGGGAGUUUGACUGGGGCGGUCGCCUCCGAAAGGGUAUCGGAGGCGCUCAAAGGUCUUCUCAGAAUGGUUGGAAACCAUUCGCAGAGUGCAAAGGCAAAAGAAGGCUUGACUGUGACACCGACGGGUGGAGCAGGUACGAAAGUAGGACUUAGUGAUCCGGUGGUAUAAAGUGGGAUUGCCAUCGCUCAACGGAUAAAAGCUACCCUGGGGAUAACAGGCUUAUCACUCCCAAGAGUUCACAUCGACGGAGUGGUUUGGCACCUCGAUGUCGGCUCAUCGCAUCCUGGGGCUGUAGUAGGUCCCAAGGGUUGGGCUGUUCGCCCAUUAAAGCGGUACGCGAGCUGGGUUCAGAACGUCGUGAGACAGUUCGGUCCCUAUCCGGCGUGGGCGCAGGAUAUUUGAGAGGAGCUGACCUUAGUACGAGAGGACCGGGUUGGACUGACCUCUGGUGUACCGGUUGUUCUACCAAGAGCAUGGCCGGGUAGCCAAGUCGGGAAGGGAUAAACGCUGAAGGCAUCUAAGCGUGAAGCCCCCCUCAAGAUGAGAUAUCCCCCGCAUAAGCGGUAAGACCCCUUGAAGACGACGAGGUAGAUAGGUUAGAGGUGGAAGUGCAGUAAUGUAUGGAGCUGACUAAUACUAAUAGGUCGAAGGCUUAUCCAU
rnacentral:rRNA from 1 species